UUUCAUUAACCUGAAGCAACAUCAAAGUCUACUUUAAAACAACUGAAAAUAAACACACGCCAUCUCCGCAACCUCUUAUUACAGGAGUGCGACGGAGGGCCACACCGGGAGGAAGUGUGGGAAGUGCUUGAUGUUAAUAACUCUCAUUUGCGACAGAAGACACAAAAAAUCUGGCCAUGAAGAUAGGAUUUAUUCAUCAAAUAAACGUGCGACAUUUAUCAGCAUCUAGUCACUUUCAGUUUUCAGUACAAGUGUAAUGGUAAAUAGCCCUGUGUACCUUUGUCUCCUGGGUUGUUCCUGGAAAAGUGUUGGAUAUAGCUAUAUAUAUAUUUUCAGCGAAUUUGUCCUCUACAAAUAUAAAAUAAACUUUCUUUUCUGAGCGUGUUUUGCUGCCAGCUAAUGGUGGUAAGCAAGGUGCAGGGCAUUUUUACACUGCAGCAGUGAAAUGUGGGGAAAGAAUGGUGAAGAAAAUGCACUUAGAUAAACAGAAAUCAUCAUGUUUCUCUCUUUGAAGAUUUGUAGUUGUUUGUAACAUGAGACAUGAUGUAAAGCAGACGUUCACUAUCCACUGGCCAGUUUUUGAGGAGGCAUAAUUUUUCAGUUUUUGUAGAUAUAAUCUAUCACGAACAAAGGUAAAUACUGCUUGGUAAUUUUGCAUUUUCUCAUUCUGUUGCCUGAGGGCGGCGACUGAAAAGUCAGCGGUAUGACGACGGACGGGCCUUGAUCGUAAAGCCUUUUUUCUUUUAAACUGCAUACUGAAACACAUUCUUCGCGUCGUGGUGCAAGUUGUUGUUGAGACGGGAUAUAUUCAUACCGUAAAAUUAUUAUGCAAAAGAAAAAAUCACGGUACAACAUUGAUUGCUGCAAUCUCCCCGCGUGACUGCGUGUUUAGCCGGUGUUUAUUUCCUUCAUUUUACUUCAUCACAUCUUCAGAGAUGAAAAGGUCAGAACGCAAAAUGUGCCUUGCCUUUUUUUCAAGACGACACACACACACACACACACACACACACACACACACACACACACACACACACACACACACACACACACACACACACACACACAGAUGUGGUGGGAGGAGUUUUAUCUGCAAUCCACUGAUAUUGUGCUUCGGCGGCUCGAGGCGUGCCUCAGACGCAGAGUUGAGAGGAGCGCGCGCACCGCGGGAGCGAGGGUCACGUACGCGGAGCGAGACAAUGAAAAAGCGGUACGUCGCUGUGUCGGAAACAGGACGACGCGGCACAGGGUGUCGGACCCCUGCAAAGCCCCUCACCUGGCUUUUCUGUCACCCAACAGGUUCGCCCCCUGCUUUGGUCACGUGGCCACUUGAAGACCCUCAUUCAUGGUGA
rnacentral:lncRNA from 1 species